UGGCUCCAUGAUAACCAAGACGCAGGUC
rnacentral:piRNA from 2 species